rnacentral:rRNA from 1 species
UACGUAGGCAGCGAGCGUUGUUCGGAAUGACUGGGCGUAAAGAGUGCGUAGGCGGGCCUUUAAGUCCGAGGUGAAAUCCUGGAGCUCAACUCCAGAACUGCCUUUGAUACUGAGGAUCUUGAGUUCGGGAGAGGUGAGUGGAACUGCGAGUGUAGAGGUGAAAUUCGUAGAUAUUCGCAAGAACACCAGUGGCGAAGGCGGCUCACUGGCCCGAUACUGACGCUGAGGCACGAAAGCGUGGGGAGCAAACAGG